rnacentral:rRNA from 1 species
UACGAAGGGGGCUAGCGUUGCUCGGAAUUACUGGGCGUAAAGCGCACGUAGGCGGCUUUCUAAGUCGGGGGUGAAAUCCUGGAGCUCAACUCCAGAACUGCCUUCGAUACUGGAAAGCUCGAGUCCGGGAGAGGUGAGUGGAACUGCGAGUGUAGAGGUGAAAUUCGUAGAUAUUCGCAAGAACACCAGUGGCGAAGGCGGCUCCCUGGCCCGGUACUGACGCUGAGGUGCGAAAGCGUGGGGAGCAAACAGG